CUCUGACUACUGAGAGGACAAAAAAGAGAAAAAGAGAGUAAAUAAGGUCCUCUCUAUAUGAGACGUUACCAGUUCUAGUCCGAAGAUUUUUUGCUGGCAAGUUCUGGUAAAUGUGUCAAAAGAUCAGCUGUAGGGUGUUUUGCAACCAAAUUGUAAACAAAAUAAAAGUGCACUCU